UCCCCAAGGUUCACCACAGCUUCUCGGAUAGUACCAUCAGGGUUAUUUGGCGAGGUUACGACCUCAAUAUAAGGUCCAUCCUUAUCAAAGAUAAUAAAUGUCGCAACCACAUAUAUAUUAAUUAAUCUUGUACGAAGAUUAAUAAUCGACUGAGAGAAUUCAUCUUUCCUUUUUUCACUAUAGGCACACCACGAGGUGAGAAACCUGUCUGCAAUUUUUUGUUCAGUUAAGUAACAUUAACAUGAAGAAAACUUGCCAACACCAAUGGAAGCAAUCACAUUAUUGAA